rnacentral:rRNA from 1 species
GAGUUUGAUCGUGGCUCAGAUUGAACGCUGGCGGCAUGCCUUACACAUGCAAGUCGAACGGCAGCACGGGAGCUUGCUCCUGGUGGCGAGUGGCGAACGGGUGAGUAAUGCAUCGGAACGUAUCCUGGAGUGGGGGAUAACGUAGCGAAAGUUACGCUAAUACCGCAUAUUCUGUGAGCAGGAAAGCGGGGGACCUUCGGGCCUCGCGCUCUUGGAGCGGCCGAUGUCGGAUUAGCUAGUUGGUGGGGUAAAGGACUCACCAAGGCGACGAUCCGUAGCAGGUCUGAGAGGAUGAUCUGCCACACUGGAACUGAGACACGGUCCAGACUCCUACGGGAGGCAGCAGUGGGGAAUUUUGGACAAUGGGGGCAACCCUGAUCCAGCCAUGCCGCGUGAGUGAAGAAGGCCU